rnacentral:rRNA from 1 species
UACGUAGGAGGCGAGCGUUGUCCGGAAUUACUGGGCGUAAAGAGCGCGUAGGCGGCACGGUACGACCGGUGUGAAAGCCCCCGGCUCAACUGGGGAGGGUCACCGGUAACGGCCGAGCUACGAGUGCAGGAGAGGGAAGUGGAACUCCGGGAGGUAGCGGUGAAAUGCGUAGAGACCCGGAGGAACACCAGUGGCGAAGGCGGCUUCCUGGUCUGCAACUGACGCUGUGGCGCGAAAGCUAGGGGAGCAAACGGG